UUAAAGCCUUGGUAUGAAAUAAACAUGCUCUUUUACUGUUUUGAUUGAAACUGGAGCUCAGCGUUCGAUUGGGGCCAAAAAUGAAGAAAACGGAUUGAAAUAUCAAAUUUAUAAUUAAAAUAUAUUUUUUUUUAAUGUUUACCAAACGUUGCAUGUGUUAAAUUUCUCUUAAUAUUUUUCCCCCAAGAACUGAUUACCUUUGCUGUAAUUGUCAAAACCUUUCAGGAUCGAUAUUAGGCCCUUAAUGUUUUAUAUUUUGCCUUUUUAGCAUUUUUAAUUCGAGCGUCACUGAUGAGUCUUUGGUAGACGAAACACACGUUUGACCUAAAAAAUGAAUGUCUACGUUCUUUGGACUCUUGUGAAUAGUUGUCCAAUUUAAAAUCAUACCGGAC
rnacentral:lncRNA from 1 species